CCUGCACUAUCUCCUUCUCCGGGCCUUCCACAUAGUGAGCGACUUGAUCAGCCAGCACUUCUUCCACUAAUCUGUGAGAUGCCCCUACUGGACCUUCUCCCAUCACCUCAGGAGCCAAUGAGAAUACCCGCCAAAAGUCUACCCCCAAGCCCCUUCUGUGAGCGUGAUUCGCCUGCUUGGAUCGCACCCCUCUUCACGUUUCCCGCGCAAUUCGGACAGGUUGGACAAUAUGCAUCGGGCUUUCCACACCAGUAGCAGAAAAUUCGCCUCUCCGAUGCCAUACAGUCCCUAAAGCCAUGAUCGGUCUGCCCGCAGUUCCAGCAAAUCAACUUCUGUGGAACACGCUGUGCCACUUGCGCUUCCACAAUGACCUCUGCCUCUUCAUCGCUAAUCGACCGAUCCUGCGCGACCUCGCUGACGUUCGCAUUCGCCCCGCGACCAUAGUUUGUGGCUUUGAGUGCUCCUCGCCACGAAGAUCGAGCCUUGCUCUUCAGAUGUGCCUCUAUUUCCACGCACUCAUCCCGCAGUUGGUCUAAGGAAUAAACCCGUGGUGGCAUCUCCAACCUCGACGCGAGCUUUCUCAUGACAUGGAAAAAGUCUUCCACUCUCUCGUUUGACCGCUGCAUUCUUUCUCGCAGUUCUCUCAUGCGGUCGAACUCGGACGCCGUGCCUCGGAAACGAGCAAUUAAGUCGCCCCUUAGUUCCUGCCAAACACCACCGCCAUGAUCACGGAUGUACUGCCAGUACCAUUCC